rnacentral:snRNA from 1 species
CAUAGUUCAUAGUUUUAUCCCAUU